rnacentral:lncRNA from 1 species
AAGAGAGGAAAUUAAAACUGACACACAAAAUAUAGAUAUCACUAUAUUAAUAUGACAGGUGCUGUUAUUCAGAGUGAUAUUCAAGCAUUACAAAUCACACAGCUGGCGUCGUCUCCAAGAAUAGAGCAGAAGCCAUUGAGCUAAAGAGGCAAAGUAGCUCAGUACAUGUCUUAAAUAACAUAAUAAUUCAAUAAUAAUUUCUAUCCAGUCAAGGCUUAUCACCUGAAGACUUCUAGAGGUAAGGAUCUUCUCCAAUUACAGGCUUCCUUUGUUUAAUGAGCGUGAUUCUUUCCCGAAGAUACCCUUGUAAAGUGAACUCUCGUAACAAAGAACUCUUCAUUACCAUUAAUUUUAAAAGGAAAAAAUCGAUAAUGCAUUCCUGAGCCACAAGAGGAUCGUGCGUAAGGCUAUCAGUAUUUCGCACGUCGCAGCUAUGACAUGGGAUGCAUGCACCAUGAGCGCCACGAACACCAAAGGGGCCAGGCUGCGGGUUAGAAAAAGUCAGAGGAGCUUGUGAUGCAGUUUAUGGCAGGGCAAUAAAUGUUUAUUAAGCGUUGGAUUCAUGUCUUCUUGCUGCUGUUCUUCAAGUCUAUCCUCCUGCCUAGGCUGCUCAUAUACAGAACACUUACACAGUAAACAAUGUAAAAUCCCUGCCUUAUCUUUUAAACACAGAAAAUGUAAUUUAAAACUAAGUGUGGAAUAUCAAAACUGCUGCGGACACCUGUAAAUCCAAAUUGCUUGUAUACGCGAACGUACCUGCCCGUCAGAGUCAUCGUAAGAGUCGUAUCAUUACGAACACGUGGGCAGUAACUGUGGAGGCUUUAAUCACAGAGUUUAUUUGCACAAACGCGAAAAAACGGAAAGAGAUCACGGAGCACCGAGGAAACAUGCGGCUGAGCAAACCUGAGUAGUCAGGCAAACAAAAGCAGUGAACAAGAUUCAGCAAUGAGCCUUUCCAUCACUUUCCUGAGGACAUUAAGCUGGUGUGAGGAGGUUAAAUAUCUUGCCCAAGACCAGUUCAGCAGUCCUCCUGCAACCUGCAGCCUUAAGGUGAAAAGAAUACACAAAGGAAGGAAGGGAGGGCAGCAGGCAAUGCAAUGGCAAGAGUUGCUGCCUUACAACUGAAGAACCCAGCUUCAAAUCCCUCCACCUGAUGUAAUACCCACGAGAAAGGUACUUACCCUCAGCUGCUUCCGUUAAAAAAAUACCCAGCCGUGAUAACAGGUUAAAAAUUCAAAGUUGCUUAGUGCAGUAUGGUUAAGAUUUUAAAUUGCUUUAAAGGAACCGUGAGCUAGAUCAAUAAAAAUAAUAUGAAGAAUCUUGAUUUAUACCA